CUCUCGCUUUAACCAACUCGACACCAAUUCGCUUCUCCAUCCUCUCAAAGCCACCCGCCGGCAUCGCCUCCCUCCAGUCCUUCCACUCGUCCGCCGUGCACUUACUCGCCAGUCCACCAGUGGAUAGAAUUAUCGGUUUGAAGACACCACCAGUGACCUUCGGAGCAUUUUGACGAUGGUACGCUGCCUUGAGGGCGUUGAAGAAGUCGACGUCGAGAGGUUGGAACCAGCCGCUCAUCUUCGCUGGAAGAAGAAUCACGACAAUGUUCCUAGCCCAACAUGCUUCAAGGAAAUCCACUUUGGUGUGCGGUUCGGCACCAUCGAGGAUGAGUAGUCGCCUGUCAGGGACGUCACGCCGGUCAGCGUAAAAGCUCGACGCUCAAUCGAAGAGGGUGGCGAGAAGGAAGGACGAGGACAGAAUAGCCGAGGCCUGAAAGGGAACAGGAGCCGGACUAAUGGCUGACCGAUGCGACUUUUAGACCUUGGAAGGUCUGGAAGGUGGAAAGAGGC
rnacentral:sRNA from 1 species